rnacentral:rRNA from 1 species
GACGAACGCUGGCGGCGUGCCUAAUACAUGCAAGUAGAACGCUGAAGAGAGGAGCUUGCUCUUCUUGGAUGAGUUGCGAACGGGUGAGUAACGCGUAGGUAACCUGCCUGGUAGCGGGGGAUAACUAUUGGAAACGAUAGCUGAUACCGCAUAAAAUUGAUUAUUGCAUGAUAAUUAAUUGAAAGAUGCAACUGCAUCACUACCAGAUGGACCUGCGUUGUAUUAGCUAGUUGGUGAGGUAACGGCUCACCAAGGCGACGAUACAUAGCCGACCUGAGAGGGUGAUCGGCCACACUGGGACUGAGACACGGCCCAGACUCCUACGGGAGGCAGCAGUAGGGAAUCUUCGGCAAUGGGGGGAACCCUGACCGAGCAACGCCGCGUGAGUGAAGAAGGUUUUCGGAUCGUAAAGCUCUGUUGUAAGAGAAGAACGGGUGUGAGAGUGGAAAGUUCACACUGUGACGGUAUCUUACCAGAAAGGGACGGCUAACUACGUG